rnacentral:rRNA from 1 species
UACGUAGGGUGCAAGCGUUGUCCGGAAUUAUUGGGCGUAAAGAGCUCGUAGGCGGUCUGUCGCGUCUGCUGUGAAAACUCAGGGCUUAACCCUGAGCUUGCAGUGGGUACGGGCAGACUAGAGUGUGGUAGGGGAGACUGGAAUUCCUGGUGUAGCGGUGAAAUGCGCAGAUAUCAGGAGGAACACCGAUGGCGAAGGCAGGUCUCUGGGCCACUACUGACGCUGAGAAGCGAAAGCGUGGGGAGCGAACAGG